rnacentral:tRNA from 1 species
GGGAAGGUAGCUCAGUUGGUAGAGCACUUGCCUUGCAUGCACGAGACCCUGGGUUCGAUUCCUCAGCACCA